GUGAUUGGGCAUUUACUGGAAAGGCAGGGAAGGAAGAGCAACGUCUCAUGUGAUUAGAAAGCGCCGUGCACACAGACUGUGUUCUCCUGGGGGAUGGGGCCAUCUCAAGCAGCUUGAUUUCAGAAAUCAUUCACUCUAUUUGACAAGGAGGUACAUGGAGAUAAGGUGAGGUGAAGGUUCCGGUUGCAGGGCACCCAGCAGAAGAGGAGAAGAAUGGAGGAAACAACCAAGAACAGUAAGUCCCCUACAUACAAACCUUCAAGUUGCGAAAUU